rnacentral:rRNA from 1 species
CAUUUAAAGAAAGCGUAAUAGCUCACUGGUCGAGUCGGCCUGCGCGGAAGAUGUAACGGGGCUAAACCAUGCACCGAAGCUGCGGCAGCGAACGUAUCACUUAAAGCGAUUCAGCGGGUUACGAUUGACGGAGCGAAGCGACGUCAAAGCGUAUACAAAGUCGAGUCGGUUUAAGGAUACGUUCGUUGGGUAGGGGAGCGUUCUGUAAGCCUGUGAAGGUGGCCUGUGAGGGUUGCUGGAGGUAUCAGAAGUGCGAAUGCUGACAUAAGUAACGAUAAAGCGGGUGAAAAGCCCGCUCGCCGGAAGACCAAGGGUUCCUGUCCAACGUUAAUCGGGGCAGGGUGAGUCGACCCCUAAGGCGAGGCCGAAAGGCGUAGUCGAUGGGAAACGGGUUAAUAUUCCCGUACUUGGUGUUACUGCGAAGGGGGGACGGAGAAGGCUAUGUUGGCCGGGCGACGGUUGUCCCGGUUUAAGCGUGUAGGUGUGUGUUCCAGGUAAAUCCGGUUCACUUUAACACUGAGGCGUGAUGACGAGGCACUACGGUGCUGAAGCAACAAAUGCCCUGCUUCCAGGAAAAGCCUCUAAGCAUCAGGUAACAUCAAAUCGUACCCCAAACCGA